rnacentral:rRNA from 1 species
UACGUAGGGGGCUAGCGUUGUCCGGAAUCAUUGGGCGUAAAGCGCGUGUAGGCGGUUCGGUAAGUCCGCUGUGAAAGUCGGGGGCUCAACCCUCGGAAGCCGGUGGAUACUGUCGAGCUAGAGUACGGAAGAGGCGAGUGGAAUUCCUGGUGUAGCGGUGGAAUGCGCAGAUAUCAGGAGGAACACCAACGGCGAAGGCAGCUCGCUGGGACGGUACUGACGCUGAGACGCGAAAGCGUGGGGAGCGAACAGG